AACAUCUUAGCAAAUCAUGUCUGACAUUCCCCUCUACCAACCUCAUUUCUUAACAUAAAUAAAUGUGUAUGCUUUACCUUGGGAGUAUCGAUCACAAGACACAUGGACUCUUACUCCAACAGGUAUCUGAGUAAACAAGUAGUCUUGUUCUGGUUUCUUUUACUCUAUAUCUCCCUUCUCUGAAUCCUUUUUAUCUCAAUUCCAAUAAACAAAGAUGCUGAUGCAGUCCAUCUUAUUCACCUUCUUUUCGAUUUUUUUAUUAUUUUUUUUUUCUUUUUCUUUUCUUGACAAAGUGUAGGCGAAUAGUGGGGUCAUCAGUAAUGUACCUACCCCUCGCUUCCAACAAUGUAUGAUCAUUCUAUUAGAGUAGAAUAAUGGGGUCGCAGGAGACGCUCCUACCCCUCUAAACCGCAAGAAAUCAUCUCAAUCUUUUAUUUUAUAUUAUUAGGAUGCCAAAGGGAGGAGAGAAGGAAACCAAAAUCACUCAGACUUUUACCUUUCAGACCUGAAGGAGGAAUCCGAUCCAGUGUAUAUCAAGCCCCAAGACAAGCAGUUAAGUCAAAU
rnacentral:lncRNA from 1 species